ensembl:lncRNA
CGCCGCUUUAGCCGCCCCAGCGCAUCCCGCCCCACCCCCGGCGCGAGUGGAAGUCCCCAACGUCCACAGACCCUUCUCAAGUAUCGAAUGCAUACCAAGGCAUCAUCUUAAGGUGGGGAAAACAAUAACCACCAAAAUCAAACAAACAAACAAAAAGAACUCAGGCCCAGAACCGCAGGGUCAUUUCGCUGUCCCAGGAAGCUACCGGGACAAAUCUAGCCAAGGUUCACCUAGGCCAAGCCAGCUCCGCGCCACCGCGCUCCUUCAAGCCCAUGCCCGCCGCACCCCCCGCGCCUCCUCCCAGGCGGCUGCACAGUCCUCUCCCGGCUCUCUCAGGAGAUGCGGAGCGCCGUCGCCAGUCAGCCCGCUUCGCCGAGGUGGUUGGGGCGGGGGGUGUCCCCCUAUCGCCCAGACUCGAAUUCCACCCACGAACCUGUUCCCUCUCCCCGCGCGCUCCAGACAUCUCUCUCAUCGGAAAACCAGGCGAAGCGAAGCAAGCACUCAGCAGAGGACUCUGGCUAAAUUAAUGGCGGUUCCCAGAAGCUCCAGUCCCUCUGACAGCUGUCGCUUGGGCAGCCCGGGGAGACGAAUUGUCCUUCGUGGUGCUGGAGGACGCAGGAAAUUAGCCAGGUUGCGAGUUGCAAAGCGGCCGCCGCGGCGCCGGGAACUGGGCACACCCCACCUCCAGCGGGAGCGGCCGGGCCGGGCCGGGCCGGGGCCUCGUCUCGCUCGCCAUCGCCGGACAAAGCACAGCCGAGCCUGGCUGGAAGGCUGAGCUCCGAAGCAGGCAGGACGGAGCGGAGCAAAAGAAUGCGGCUCUAUUCUCGCAAGGGAAAUUAUAAAAAAGUUCAUGUUCACGGUUCCCAUCCACAUGACCGACAGCGGCCAAUGGAAGGGCCGAACAACUCAUAAAGUUGUAUUGCAAAGUUGUAAAUUUUCAUAAACAACAACGGAU